GGUUAAGUGACUAAGCGUACACGGUGGAUGCCUAGGCAGUCAGAGGCGAUGAAGGGCGUGCUAAUCUGCGAAAAGCGUCGGUAAGGUGAUAUGAACCGUUAUAACCGGCGAUACCCGAAUGGGGAAACCCAGUGUGUUUCGACACACUAUCAUGUCAUGAAUACAUAGUGGCAUGAGGCGAACCGGGGGAACUGAAACAUCUAAGUACCCCGAGGAAAAGAAAUCAACCGAGAUUCCCCCAGUAGCGGCGAGCGAACGGGGAGGAGCCCAGAACCUGAAUCGGCUUGUGUGUUAGUGGAAGCGUCUGGAAAGUCGCGCAGCAAAGGGUGAUAGCCCCGUACACUAAAAUGCACAGGUCGUGAGUUCGAUGAGUAGGGCGGGACACGUGACAUCCUGUCUGAAUAUGGGGGGACCAUCCUCCAAGGCUAAAUACUCCUGACUGACCGAUAGUGAACCAGUACCGUGAGGGAAAGGCGAAAAGAACCCCGGCGAGGGGAGUGAAAUAGAACCUGAAACCGUGUACGUACAAGCAGUGGGAGCACCUUCGUGGUGUGACUGCGUACCUUUUGUAUAAUGGGUCAGCGACUUAUAUUUUGUAGCAAGGUUAACCGUAUAGGGGAGCCGUAGGGAAACCGAGUCUUAACUGGGCGAAUAGUUGCAAGGUAUAGACCCGAAACCCGGUGAUCUAGCCAUGGGCAGGUUGAAGGUUGGGUAACACUAACUGGAGGACCGAACCGACUAAUGUUGAAAAAUUAGCGGAUGACUUGUGGCUGGGGGUGAAAGGCCAAUCAAACCGGGAGAUAGCUGGUUCUCCCCGAAAGCUAUUUAGGUAGCGCCUCGUGAACUCAUCUUCGGGGGUAGAGCACUGUUUCGGCUAGGGGGCCAUCCCGGCUUACCAAACCGAUGCAAACUCCGAAUACCGAAGAAUGUUAUCACGGGAGACACACGGCGGGUGCUAACGUCCGUCGUGAAGAGGGAAACAACCCAGACCGCCAGCUAAGGUCCCAAAGUCAUGGUUAAGUGGGAAACGAUGUGGGAAGGCAUAGACAGCCAGGAUGUUGGCUUAGAAGCAGCCAUCAUUUAAAGAAAGCGUAAUAGCUCACUGGUCGAGUCGGCCUGCGCGGAAGAUGUAACGGGGCUAAACCAUGCACCGAAGCUGCGGCAGCGACGCUUAGGCGUUGUUGGGUAGGGGAGCGUUCUGUAAGCCGUUGAAGGUGGCCUGUGAGGGUUGCUGGAGGUAUCAGAAGUGCGAAUGCUGACAUAAGUAACGAUAAAGCGGGUGAAAAGCCCGCUCGCCGGAAGACCAAGGGUUCCUGUCCAACGUUAAUCGGGGCAGGGUGAGUCGACCCCUAAGGCGAGGCUGAAAAGCGUAGUCGAUGGGAAACAGGUUAAUAUUCCUGUACUUGGUGUUACUGCGAAGGGGGGACGGAGAAGGCUAGGCUAGCCGGGCGACGGUUGUCCCGGUUUAAGCGUGUAGGGGGUGUGACCUGGUAAAUCCGGUUGCAUGCUAACCCUGAGGCGUGAUGACGAUGCACUACGGUGCAGAAGUAGUUGAUGCCCUGCUUCCAGGAAAAUCCUCUAAGCUCCAGGUAACAUUAAAUCGUACCCCAAACCGACACAGGUGGUCAGGUAGAGAAUACCAAGGCGCUUGAGAGAACUCGGGUGAAGGAACUAGGCAAAAUGGUGCCGUAACUUCGGGAGAAGGCACGCUGGCAUGUAGGUGAAGUCCCUCGCGGAUGGAGCUGAAGCCAGUCGAAGAUACCAGCUGGCUGCAACUGUUUAAUAAAAACACAGCACUGUGCAAACACGAAAGUGGACGUAUACGGUGUGACGCCUGCCCGGUGCUGGAAGGUUAAUUGAUGGGGUCAGCCGCAAGGCGAAGCUCUUGAUCGAAGCCCCAGUAAACGGCGGCCGUAACUAUAACGGUCCUAAGGUAGCGAAAUUCCUUGUCGGGUAAGUUCCGACCUGCACGAAUGGCGUAAUGAUGGCCAGGCUGUCUCCACCCGAGACUCAGUGAAAUUGAACUCGCUGUGAAGAUGCAGUGUACCCGCGGCAAGACGGAAAGACCCCGUGAACCUUUACUAUAGCUUGACACUGAACAUUGAGCCUUGAUGUGUAGGAUAGGUGGGAGGCUUUGAAGCGUGGACGCCAGUCUGCGUGGAGCCAUCCUUGAAAUACCACCCUUUAAUGUUUGAUGUUCUAACUCGGCCCCGUGAUCCGGGGUGAGGACAGUGUCUGGUGGGUAGUUUGACUGGGGCGGUCUCCUCCCAAAGAGUAACGGAGGAGCACGAAGGUUAGCUAAUCACGGUCGGACAUCGUGAGGUUAGUGCAAAGGCAUAAGCUAGCUUGACUGCGAGAGUGACGGCUCGAGCAGGUACGAAAGUAGGUCUUAGUGAUCCGGUGGUUCUGAAUGGAAGGGCCAUCGCUCAACGGAUAAAAGGUACUCCGGGGAUAACAGGCUGAUACCGCCCAAGAGUUCAUAUCGACGGCGGUGUUUGGCACCUCGAUGUCGGCUCAUCACAUCCUGGGGCUGAAGUAGGUCCCAAGGGUAUGGCUGUUCGCCAUUUAAAGUGGUACGCGAGCUGGGUUUAGAACGUCGUGAGACAGUUCGGUCCCUAUCUGCCGUGGGCGUUGGAAGAUUGAGAGGGGUUGCUCCUAGUACGAGAGGACCGGAGUGAACGCACCACUGGUGUUCGGGUUGUCAUGCCAAUGGCAUUGCCCGGUAGCUAAGUGCGGAAAAGAUAAGCGCUGAAAGCAUCUAAGCGCGAAACUUGCCUCAAGAUGAGUCUUCCCUGGGCCUUUAAGGCCCCUGAAGGAACGUUUAAGACUAAGACGUUGAUAGGCUGGGUGUGUAAGUGCAGCGAUGCAUUGAGCUAACCAGUACUAAUGAUCCGUGAGGCUUAACCUU
rnacentral:rRNA from 1 species